GACUUGAACAGGUUUUAUGAAGUUAAGCCUGGAACAUUGAGUGUUCAGAAGAUAAAACUCGAAUUUGCUGUGAACAAGUGUAGUUUUA